rnacentral:rRNA from 1 species
CACGUAGGCGGCCUGGCCAGUCAGUCGUGAAAUCCCUCGGCUCAACCGAGGAACGGCGAUUGAUACUGCCAGGCUUGAGUGAAGCAGGGGGGUGUGGAACUCCGGGUGGAGCGGUGAAAUGCUUAGAUAUCCGGAGGAACGCCGGUGGUGAAAACGACGCCCUGGGCUUCUACUGACGCUGAGGUGCGAAAGCUAGGGGAGCGAACAGGAUUAGAUACCCUGGUAGUCC